GUGUCCCAGACAUUUUUGCUUUUGAAGUCUGUGAGCAGCACAUUAGGCAUAUGGUUCAUGAGCUUCCUUGUCCCAAACAACUGGAGCCUGAGGCAGGGAGAGACACAGAGAAGGAAGCACUGAGCAGAAAAACAGGGUCUCAGAACAGAUUAUGGUAAAGUGCAGGGGCAGGUAACUACAGUACAGUGGUUUCUGCAACAUGAAAGGUGUCCAAGUUCAUUUAAGUAUUAUAAGCCAGUUCAAGCCACUGCCUAUGAAACAAGACACUUGGAUUUAGAUGGAUGGGACUGGAACUGUUAUCAUAAAACUGGCUGCAAAGAUACCACCUGUAACGCUCGAAGAGUGAUGGGUGUGGAGUCAGGCACAGAGAGCAGAGGAUUCGGGAAAACGCGUUAUUGUCCGUAUAGUAACAGCGCACAAACGGGCAGCAGGAACUGAUAGAGAAAGGAGCACGAGUUCACACAGCAUCCUAGGAUGGAGCAGCCAUAGCCCCUGCCUUCACCCUGGCCUGGACAGCACUGCACUGCCAAGACACAGGCAGCUUUAGGAGGCAGAGUAGAGGGCCUGCUAAUAAGGUGGACUACCCGCACACCCUCUGAGUUCAGCACCCUCUACACCGGACCUCAUACGCAUAAACAUUUACAUAUCUAUCUGUACAAAACACGUCCAGAGAAAUAAACAAAGCAAUUACACUUCACAGAACAUUGCUGCUCAGUUGUAUUGUAGACACAUCACUCUUUCCUGGUGGUGGUGGAAAUGAUGUCUGGAUGAAGUAACCUGUGGCCAGACGGACUGGCAAAUAUUAUGGUUACCAUGUGUUCACCAC
rnacentral:lncRNA from 1 species